AAGUCGUAACAAGGUUUCCGUAGGUGAACCUGCGGAAGGAUCAUUAACACGUAUCCAACGUUAAAACCCCCCCCGUGAACUUUCAAUCCUGCUCUUGUAAGUAGCCCGGAAAGUUGUUUUGAUUCAGAGACCUCUGGCUACGUGAGAACAUUGGAACAGUUACAAUUCGAGCGGUAGUUUCAUAGGCAUUGUUUCCCCAAGCAGUCAGUGUCGGAAAGUGUCACUGAUUGUGCAAGGAUAGCGCUUCACGAUUCCUGUAGACCGUACACUCGGGCAGGAGCUAUGCCAAAGGGUCCCCAUGCCCCCUUAUAACCCCACAGUUUAAUGUAAAGCUCAAUGUAAUACAUUGGGUAAAAAAACCGAACAACUGUUAACAAUGGAUAUCUUGGUUCUC
rnacentral:misc_RNA from 1 species